rnacentral:rRNA from 1 species
GCGUGAGUGAAGAAGGCCCUAGGGUUGUAAAGCUCUUUCACCCGUGACGAUGAUGACGGUAGCGGGAGAAGAAGCCCCGGCUAAUUCCGUGCCAGCAGCCGCGGUAAUACGGAAGGGGCUAGCGUUGUUCGGAUUUACUGGGCGUAAAGAGCACGUAGGCGGCUGAUCAAGUGAGGCGUGAAAGGCCUGGGCUCAACCUGGGAACGGCGCUUCAUACUGGUCGGCUUGAGUCCGGGAGAGGGUGGUGGAAUUCCCAGUGUAGAGGUGAAAUUCGU